UACGGAGGGUGCAAGCGUUAUCCGGAUUCACUGGGUUUAAAGGGUGCGUAGGCGGGCAGGUAAGUCCGUGGUGAAAUCUCUGAGCUUAACCCAGAAACUGCCAUGGAUACUAUUUGUCUUGAAUAUUGUGGAGGUAAGCGGAAUAUGUCAUGUAGCGGUGAAAUGCUUAGAUAUGACAUAGAACACCAAUUGCGAAGGCAGCUUACUACACAGUUAUUGACGCUGAGGCACGAAAGCGUGGGGAUCAAACAGG
rnacentral:rRNA from 1 species